rnacentral:lncRNA from 1 species
UGCAGUGUCCCCUGUGAUGCUUGCUCUUCACCUCACCUGAUUGCAAUCACCGUGUUGCUGCCAACGUACAAAGAUAAGGUCAUUGAACCAUUUAGAAAUGAUUGCUUUUGAACGAGACUAACUAGCUUACCUCCUAAUCUCAUGAUACAGGACAGCGAACCGAAUGGAACACAUCCAUCAAAGCUGGAUCCCAGAUGGUUGCAUAAUGCCUCUGUCCAAUUUAGCAUCAAGCACUGCAUCAUGCAUCUGAUUGCACAGCCACUAGCCCACUAGUCCACUGCCUUUGCCUCUACAGAGGAUAUGCCAUGGCCCAGCA